rnacentral:rRNA from 1 species
GGCUCACGGAGGCGAUGAAGGACGUGAUAAGCUGCGAUAAGCUUCGGGUAGGUGCAAAUAACCUUUGAUCCGGAGAUUUCCGAAUGGGACAACCCGAUUGGUUGAAGACCAAUCAUCCAACUAAGUUGGAGGCUAACGCAGGGAACUGAAACAUCUUAGUACCUGCAGGAAAAGAAAAUAAACAAUGAUUCCCCCAGUAGUGGCGAGCGAACGGGGAACAGCCCAAACCAUCCAUGUUACGGCAUGGGUGGGGUUGUAGGACUACGCCGUUGCAUGAAGACAUCAGAGAAGAACUUUCUGGAAAGAAAGACCAUAGAGCAUGACAGUUGCGUAUUCGAAUGUUGUCGAAGCAUAGUAGUAUCCUGAGUAGCGCGGAGCACGAGGAAUUCUGCGUGAAUCUGCCGGGACCAUCCGGUAAGGCUAAAUACUCCCGAGAGACCGAUAGCGAACCAGUACCGUGAGGGAAAGGUGAAAAGCACUUCGAACAGAAGAGUGAAAUAGUUCCUGAAACCGUGCGCCUACAAGCGGUCGGAGCUCGUUAAUGAGUGACGGCGUGCCUUUUGCAUAAUGAACCUACGAGUUGCCUUUGCCGGCAAGGUUAAGUGUGACGACACACGUAUCCGAAGCGAAAGCGAGUCUGAACAGGGCGUAUAGUCGGCAGUGGCAGACGCGAAACCAAGUGAUCUACCCUUGGCCAGGUUGAAGGCUGGGUAACACCAGCUGGAGGACCGCACCAAUAAGCGUUGAAAAGCUUCUGGAUGAGCUGAGGGUAGGGGUGAAAGGCUAAUCAAACUUGGAGAUAGCUCGUACUCCCCGAAAUGCAUUUAGGUGCAGCCUUGCGGGUUACUGAUGUGAGGUAGAGCGACUGAUAAGAUGCGAGGGCUUCACCGCCUAUCAAGUCUUGACAAACUCCGAAUGCGCAUCAGUUCUACCGCAGGAGUGAGGGCAUGGGUGCUAAGGUCCGUGCCCGAGAGGAGAAGAAUCCGGACCACCUGCUAAGGUCCCGAAAUGACAGCUAAGUUAAACUAACGAAGUCUGACUGCUAAGACAGCUAGGAUGUUGGCUUGGAAGCAGCCAUUCAUUUAAAGAGUGCGUAACAGCUCACUAGUCGAGGAGUCGGGCGUGGAUAAUAAUCGGGUAUUAAGUUGUCUACCGAAGCAGUGGGAUCAUUAAUAUGAUCGGUAGGGGAGCAUUCCAGUCCGCGUCGAAGGCGUACCGUGAGGUAUUCUGGAGCGUCUGGAAAAGCAAAUGUAGGUAUAAGUAACGAUAAAGGGGGCGGGAAACCCCCUCGCCGAAAGACUAAGGUUUCCUGAUCAACGCUAAUCGGAUCAGGGUCAGUCGGGUCCUAAGGCUCAGCCGAACGGCGAUGCCGAUGGCAGAAACGGUUAAUAUUCCGUUACUACCUUCAGGAGUGACGUGGAGACGCAGUAGUGACAGUGCCGCCAUCUGACGGAAUAGAUGGUUGAAGGGUGUAGGAGUCGAUCAUGGCAGGCAAAUCCACCAUGAGAUCCGAACCUGACAGUAUGCCGCGUCCUUCGGGACAAGGCAAUAGUGCGCGUAAGCAUGCUGCCGAGAAAAUCCGCUAAACUUAAUCCUGCAGGUACCCGUACCGCAAACGGACACACGUAGUCGGGAUGAAUAUUCUAAGGCGCUUGAGUGAUUCACGGUUAAGGAACUAGGCAAACUGACCCUGUAACUUCGGGAUAAAGGGUCCUCAGGGUGACUUGAGGCGCAGAGAAUCGGUCCAGGCAACUGUUUAACAAAAACACAGGGCUGUGCAAAAUAGAAAUAUGAAGUAUACAGCCUGACACCUGCCCGGUGCUGGAAGGUUAAGAGGAGAUGUCAUCGCAAGAGAAGCAUUGAAUUGAAGCCCCAGUAAACGGCGGCCGUAACUAUAACGGUCCUAAGGUAGCGAAAUUCCUUGUCGGGU